rnacentral:rRNA from 1 species
UACGGGGGGGGCAAGCGUUGUUCGGAAUUACUGGGCGUAAAGCGCGCGUAGACGGUUUUGUAAGUCGGAUGUGAAAUCCCCGGGCUCAACCUGGGAACUGCGUUCGAUACUGCAUGGCUAGAGUACGGUAGAGGGAAGCGGAAUUUCCGGUGUAGCGGUGAAAUGCGUAGAUAUCGGAAGGAACACCAGUGGCGAAAGCGGCUUCCUGGACCAGUACUGACGUUCAUGUGCGAAAGCGUGGGGAGCAAACAGG